GCGUCACUGCGUCCGCCUGAGGCAGGUCAGGGAAGGGACGCGAGGUGGCGCUGUCACCGGAUUCUGUGAGCGGCAGCGCUCUGGGCUCCGCUGGUCUUGUAUCGUUUCGGUGACCUUCGCUCCAGUCUGUGACUGGGCCACACUCUGGGUGUAAAUUACGAUCCUCACUGAAGGGGUGGGACCCUGAGAGGCUUUUUCCUGGCCCCUUAGUUGUGGGUUUUCCUGCGGGCGGUGGAGCCCGUUUCCAUCAGAACCGCCCAGAGGCGGGCGCUGCCUUCCAGGGGUGGCGGAGCAGCAGGAAGCGUUUUCGGAUCCUGGAAUCCGUGGGCGGCCCGUGGGAGGGACUGAGGCGCAUUUCCCUACUCACCCGGCCCCGAAUCCACCGCGGUGCUGUUUCAAGAGAGUCAGAUUCCAGAUCGCGCUCCAGCCCGGACUCGGAAUUCCUGCCCUGCGGGUCUGCAUUUCACAGCGGCAGGUGUGAGUGACCCGCAGCUGGAGACCAGAAGCCUGAAGGCAGCUCGGCCCUCCCCAGCCCGCAGCGCCGUUAUUCCGUUUCUGUAUCAGUAAACACUUGUCAUUUUUCCGUAGCCCGGGGCAGGGUGACGGGUGAUCCCAGUCCUCGCAGUGAACUCCGGGCCGCAGACUUGAAAACGCGCGCGGGCUCCCACCGCAGCCCUGUCCUGAGUUACAGACGCGACCCGCGACCGCACUGGGCAGUUUCCCUUUCUUUUCCGGACUCAGCAGUGGCGCCUAAAGUCUACGAGGAGAAAAUCGCCUGUGUGCUGAGCAUGGGAACCUACAAGGCCCGGAUCAACACCUGACUGGGACAGGAGACCACCAGGGCAGUGCACAGCUGGGAUUUCAGUCUCCCGUGUCAUCUCCUGGGUCCACUGGUGCCACUGAGGGCAGCUAGACUCUGCAGCCAGGCGGCCUGGAUUCAACUCCCUGCCUGGGUCUCACCAGCACUUUCCCUCUUGGUGUCUCUGUUUCCUCAUCUAUGAAAUGGGGAAAUCAACAGCAUUUAUUUCUUGUGGUUGGAUGAAUGAUAAGGGUUGGCAUAUAUGAGGUGUUUGCAGCUGUGCCAUAUUAUUUUUAUUAUUUUGUUAUUUUAUUAUAUUUUAAUAUAUCACAUGUGCAGUAACUGUAUUAUUAUAGGUGAGCUUUAUGAAUGAGUGUCCUGGUGACGGUUCCUCCUGGGGAGCCCAGGACCAGGUUUCUUGGCACCUUGAGGUCCCCUCACCCCUGUUCUACUCUCCUGCAUUACCCUAUUCUAUUCUGUCUUUGUCUUCACAUUUUAUACUAUAGAUAUUUAGCUCUUAAAUAGACAUUUCUGGUCUGUGUUUUAAUUCAAGCGUCUGGGAAGGGAUAGAGUGUGAGGUUCAGGAGAGAAGGAGAGGUCUGUCUUGAUGCCUUGACACAGCACAGAGAAAUCCCCCCUCCUCCUCCACAUCUCCCCACCAGUUCUCAGUGAGGUACAGAUUCACAGCAACACUGAAAGGGCUGGGAAGAGAUCGGGGACAUCUGGGGCCAAUGUUCAGGGGUUGACCCUGUGGGGGACACCGGCCUGCAGAGUUAGAGCCCACAUGUGAUGAUGUAGAGCUGAAGGGUGAUAUCAGGGAGGGGACGGAGAGUGCUUUGGCCUUUCCUGAUUAUGAAGAGUAGAGGUCAGUGCUUCUGGGGUGAAGUGACUGCUGGGGAGAUUGGAUUGAAUUAAUGAAGAAUAAAUGAACAAAGAAUGAGGAUGAGUAAAGCAAGCAUCAGUAUCUCCUGCCAUUAGUUCAGACUGAUUGGGAAAGUGGGAUAGUUACUGACCCUGUUGCGUGAUUCCUCCUAACUUCCUGGUCUUGGGGGCACAGGCGGGUGGUGCUGUUCUUGGUCAGGGCGGCCUCAGCUCCACCAAGGUAAAGCAGUGGUGGCAGAGAGAGUUAGGGGAGCACCUGUGAAAGUGACCAAGGCAGGGAUGGGAGCCCCCUGUGCAGCAGUAGCAGAUGAAGGACCUACCUGGAUGCAAGAAAAGGAUGAGGAACCCUAGCUGGGUCCUGUUCCCUGCCUGCCUGUGCUCACAGGGUAAUCAGCAAGGGAGCUGGGGUAGGGAAUUCGUUCAUAAGCUAUCUAUCCAGAGAUGUGUUUAUAGACAUAUUCUUUCAUGUUUGUAUUCAAGUUUGUUGUCACAGGCACAUUUAUCCAUGUAUGUUUUAUGUUUAAGUUACUUUAGAAUGGCUCAGUCACAAAAUCUUAAUCUCUUCAUUUGUGAUACCUCUCUCUCCACACACACACACAUUCACACACAUGCUAUACAAACCUAUCUACCUAUAUCUGUAAAGAGAUAUGUUAUUUUAUUGUUUAUUUUGUAAAUUCAUAUACAUUCAGGGGGCACCAGCGCAAUUUCGCUACAUUGCUAUAUUGAGUUGUGGUAAAGUCAGGGCCUUCAGUGCAUCCGUCACUGGAGCCGGCCACAUUGUAUCCACCAAGAAACCCCUCUCAUAAUACACCCCCUGCCAACCACCCUUACCCUUCUGGGUCUCCGUUGUCCAUCAUUCCACAUGCUACUUUCAUGUAUAUAAAGAGAUAUUAAGUAAAUACGGCAGAGUGGUAACUUGAAUUUUACUGCACUAUUCUUUCAGAUUCUUUGCACAUUUGAAAAUUUAUACAAUUAUAAGUUGGAGGAAUGAGGGAAAACAGAGAGAGAGAGAGAGUGCUGAGUCAGAAUAGGUUAGGGGUUGCGUCCCACUAGGAACCAUAAUUGAUCUUUGCCAUUUUGAAAGUGUGCCCCCCUCCGAGCUGCCUUCAGAGAGUCCUGGAGGGAAACCUGCUUUCACAGAAAUACCAAGAUGCCAUCUGCCUGUUUCAUUAUGUUGACUUUUCCAUUAAUGCUGCAAAUGCCAUGGUGGGUAACACACCUAGCACCUUAGCAGAACCAGGCAGUAUCACCAAAGCACAGUCCCACUUCAGAUUAUCUUUGAUGGAGCAGUAAAAAUUUAUGUUUAUUAGAUUUUGAUCCCUCAGUACAUGUCUUUAAUAUUAUUUGUGAGAAAGUGGGAAAUAUGCAUAAAACACUUAUCGUAGAGAGAAGCAGGAUGGUAGCCUUGAGGAAGGGCACUUGUGUAGACUUAGUUAUGAGUUCAACCAGCAGAUCUCCUUCACCCACUGAAAGACAAUUUCAUUAUUUCCAGUUUGAAGGUGUUAUGGAUAAAGCUGCAAGAGUAUUUGUGUACAGGUGUUUUGUGAACGUAAAGUUUUCCCUUGUUUGAAAUAAGUGCCUAGGAGGUCAAUUGCUAGUCAUAUGGUAAAUUGCAUGUUAAGUUUGAAGAAAACUGCAAUACCCAUUUCCAGAGUGACUGUACCAUUUUAAAAUCCUUCCUACCGGCAAUAUAAGAGUGACCCAGUUUCUCUGCAUCCUUGCCAGCAUCUGUUGCUACCUUUAUUUUGUAUUUCAGCCAUUCUCAUGAUUGUGGUUUUAAUUUGUAUUUUUCCUACUGGAUAAUCAUGUUGAGUGUCUUCAUUUGCUUGUUAGCCCAGUGUUUAUCCUCUUCAGAGAAAUGUCUGUUCAUGUCUUGCUCAUUGCCUGUUUUGUAAUUGGAUUUCAUUUUUUACUGUUGUUUUUACAUUUCUUCAUAUAUUCUGAAUACAGUCUUUACAGAAUAUGUUGUCUGUAAAUAUCUUCUCUCGUUCUGUAGCUUGUCUUUUUAGCUCUUCACAGGUCCCUCACAGAGCAACAGUUUUUAAUGUUGAUGAGAUCCAAUUUGUUAACUUUUUCUUUUAUGGAUCAUACUUUUGGUGUUAUGUCUAAGAACCCUUUGUCCAGUCUUAGUUCUGAUGACUUUUUCUUCAAAGGUUGUAAUUUGAAAUUUUUAAUUUAUUUAUUAUUUAUUUUAGAAAAAAAAAAUUUGGCCUAGGCUGUCCUUGAACUCCUGGGCUCAAGGGAUCCUCCCACCUCAGCCUCCCGAGUAGCUGAGAGUACAGGUCUGUGACACCAUGCCUGGCUCAAUGUUUGCCAUUUUAACUCUGUGUCUUGCAUUAAAGCUUGUGAUUCAUUUUGAGUUAUUUUUUGUAUAAAGUGUGAGAUUUGGGCUCAGCUGUCCAGUUGCUCAGCACUGUUUGUUGGGCAAGCUCUCCUUCCCUCAUUGAAUUGCUUUUGUUCUUUUGUAAGUCAGUUGAGCAUAUUUAUAUGUUUUGCCCACUUUCAGUUGAGUUGCUUCUCUUCUUACAUUAAGUUUAAGAACUUGUCACAUAUUCUGGAUACAUGUUCUUCAUCACAAAUGUAAUUUGUGAUAAAUUGUGAAAUAUUUACUCCCAGUCUAUGGCUUGUCUUCUCAUUUUCUCAAUGAUGUCUUUUGGAGCACUCAAGUUUUAAAUUCUAACUAAGCCCAAUCUCUCCCUCUCUGUCUCUCUCUCUCUCUCUUUCACUUGUAGAUCAUGCUUUUGGUAUUUUUAUCUAAGAAUCUUUUGCCUAACUACCCAAAGUCACAAAAAUUUCCUUCUAUAUUUUCGUUUAGAAAUUUUAUAGUUUUAACUCAUAAAUUUUAGCUCUAUAGGUCUCUAAUUUGUUUGAGCUGAUAUUUUAUGUGGUGUUAAGUGUCACAUUGCAUUACCUAUGCAACUUCAUUGAAAAUCAAUUGACAAAAAAAAAUGUAAGAAUGUCUUUCUAGAUUUUCACUUCUGUUCAUUUCUGUUCAUUGAUCUCUAUGUCUCUCAGUUUCAUACUGUCUGGAUUUUUAUAGUUUUACAUGACAUUCCGUUUUUUGGGUUUUUUUUUUCAAAUUUGUGUUGGCUCUUCUGCAUCCUCUGCAUUUUCAUAUACAUUUUUAGGCUUAUUUUCUCAAUUUUCUA